CCAUUCAUCCCACUUCCAUAAUCAAACCAAGACCUCUUCUCUACCGUCUACUGUCUCUAAUACUCUACCCAAAAACCCCUCCCCAAAAAACCCACCCAAACCAAAAACCCCUUCCCUAACAUACUUAUAACCAAACCGACUAACAUGUCUCCUUCUUCCAAUUUAGUACGUGUAUGUAGCUUCGCUUGUUUCCUUGUGUUUCGAUGUUCUGUUCUGUUUCGGUGGUUGUUUGGUUUUGAGUUCUUGUUGUUCAGUGUAGUUCCGGUGACUACUCGAUGACUGGUAUUUUAUGUUGUUUUUGUGUUCAGUUCUGGUUUCGGUGGUUGCUCGGCUUUCUAUUCUGCUUGUACGUGUUUCUGGUUAUCCUUGUUUCUGGUAUUCUGACCAAAUAGGUACUGUUUUCCGCUAUUGUUUUCAAUUUAUUCUUAUCCGUUACCAGUUCAGUUCCAUUGACUAUUCGAUGACUGGUAUGUUCUGGUGUGUCGGUGUUCAGUUUGGUUUUGGUGGCUGCUCGGCUUAAUAAUCUGUUUGUCCGUGUUUCUGAUUAUUCUUCUUUCUGGUAUUAUGACCAAAUAGAUACUGUUUUCCGCUCUUGAUCUUCGAUUUAUUCUUAUCGGUUACCCGUUCAGUUCAGUUUCGUUGACAACUCGAUGACUGGUAUGUUCUGGUGUGUUGGUGUUCAAUUUGGUUUCGGUGCGAUUACAUCCUCCUCCCUCCAAUUCUGAAACAGCUCGAUCUCGCAUUGCAUGCAAUAUACGUGCUCGAUCUCCCUCCCGAUAACCUGUUUUCAGAUUCAAUAGAGCCGGAAAAGAGGAGAAAACGAUGGAUGUCACAGCAAUGGUGAGACCUGUGAAUGGCGGCGGCGGUGGUGGUGGUGGAUAUGGAUGCGUUAAUUUCUGGGUAUAGCAGUGAGGAAUUAAGCUAGAACUGUAUGUGCUUCCGAGACACAGCAAGGUUGUAGUCACAGAGAAUAAUAGCGGACUAAGUCGGUUCUUGUAGGGUUACAAGGCGUGGUUAAGAAGGCCGUUGGACUUGGAAGGUGGCAUUGGC
rnacentral:lncRNA from 1 species